ensembl:lncRNA translation initiation factor IF-2-like
GCGGCGCGAGCGGCGUAUGAAAGCGAGGCGGGGCCGCCGGUGCCUACCCGCACGCAGCGUGNNNNNNNNNNNNNNNNNNNNNNNNNNNNNNNNNNNNNNNNNNNNNNNNNNNNNNNNNNNNNNNNNNNNNNNNNNNNNNNNNNNNNNNNNNNNNNNNNNNNCUGGAGCGCAGCGCGGGGGCCGUGCCCGACGAGACCUCGAGCUGCCUGUCCCUGUGCUCCAGCUCCUUCCUCACCUCCACCCCCCUGACGCCGCCCGCGCGCUUCACCUUCGCCCGCGCCCUGGCCCCGCGCAGCCUGCUCGCAGCCGGCCCGCAGCCUGGGGACCUGCGCGGCUCCGCCACCUUCUUCCUGGAUGCGGCUCGGCGCAGCCUGCUCGCGGACGGCCCGGGGCCCAGGGACCCGCGCGGCUCCACCACCGCUGUCCCAGGCGCAGCCCAGGGCAGCCUGCGGAGGGACGACUUGGAGCUGAGAGACUCCUGCGGCUCCACCACCUUCUUUCUGGAUGCAGCCCAAGGCAGCCUGCUCGGGGACAACCCAGAGCCCAGGGACCCAUGCAGCUCCACCACUGCUGUCCCAGGCAUGGCUCGAUGCAGCCUGCUUGCAGACUACCUGGGGCCCAGGGAGCCCUUUGGCUCCACUGCUGCUGACCCAGGCGCAGCCCAGGGCAGCUCGCUGAGAGACCCCCAUGGCUCCACCACCUUCUUCCUGGAUGUAGCUCAGCGCAGCGUGCUCAGGGAUGACCCAGAGCCCAGGGACCCACGCAGCUCCACCACCGCUGUCUUGGACACAACCCAGUGCAGCCUGCCUGGGGACGACCCAGAGCCCAGGGGCCCGCGUAGCUCCACCACUGCCGUCCUGGAUGCAGCCCAGGGCAGCGUGCUCGGGGACAACUCGGAGCUGAGGGACCCGCGUGGCUCCACCACCGCUGUCCUGGGUGACCCAGUGCAACCCGGCCCAGCCGACGGCACCCACAGCACAGCAGGGCCCGAGCACCUGCCUGCACCUCCUGCCUCCCCCAGGGGGAAGGAGCCUGCUGGCAGCAACGACAUUGCCAAGGGUGCAGCUCCAGCCAGGCUGAGAGUUGCGGCUUGCAGCAUCCCGACAGCGCUGCAGGCCCUGGCCCCCGCAUCCUGCAGCUCCCGCAGGGCCCCUGCGGGCAGAGGCUGUGCCUUGGCAGGGUACCUGAGCCGUGUGUCCCUGAGCAGCCUCCGGCUCUCGCUGCAGCAGCCGGUUGGCACUAGGGACGUGCCUCUGGGAUCGCAGACUGAGGCCCAGCCUCCUGCGCAGGUCCCGGCUGGCACCGCGGCGAAGCAGAGCAGUGCCAGGCUGCUCGGCGUUGGGAAGUGUUCCACGGGCCUGCGGCCCCCCUCCAGGCUCCCGGGGCUGGGCGGUAGCAGAGCUGGCCCUGGGGGCUUGCAGGCUCCCACGGGGAUGGAGCUACCUGGAUCCAGCAAAGGGGCCAGGGCUUUUGGGACUGGACUCCCACCUCGCCCAGGUAGCAAGCGGCAGCUCAUGAAGCCAGGCCCCGGCAACCCGGCGCUCGCUGCUGGAGCCCCCCCACCCCUGGGGGCCACAUCCAGCCCCCAAGACAAAGCUCCAGGAAUCAACACCACAUACUCUGCCAGCCAUGUGCAAGCCGCUGCCAAGGCUGCCCGGAGCAGGCUGCCUCCGCGGAGGGCUGUCGCUGGGCCUGUGCCGGCCACAGCUGUGGCACCGCGCUCCCGACUGCGGCCGCCUGCCAAAGCCAGCGCCUCCCCCAGGAGCCUGCCUCCUUGCAAGCGAGUCCGGCUGGGCGAAGGGGCGCAAGGCCGUGGGGCCCAGCAGGAGCCUGCGCUUGCAGAUGGCAGCCCUGGGCCCGGGGCAGCAGAGGCCUCUUCCAGCACAGGUGAUGCUGCCCAGGGCCCCACGUGCAGGGGUCCUGUGGCUGUGCUCCGCAGCUCUCCCCAUGCGGCUCCUCGGGGCAUGGGCGCAGCUGCCCCCAUGCAGUCCCCAGGCAACCUGCUACACCGAGAGCUGGAGCAAGCACAGAAUGAACUGGAGCUGGCACGGAGCGAGCUGCAGAGGGUCCAGAGGGAGCUAGAAGGAGCCAGGACUGAGCUAGCGGAGAAGGAUGCCCAGUGCCAGGCCUAUCGUAGGGUCAUUGCCGACCUCCAAGCUCAGCUGGGAGCAGCAGGCUCUGUGGCUGAAGGGUGCAGGCUCGAGGCGUGAUGGAGUCGCGGUGGAACGACGGUGGCUGGAGGGCUCUGCCCAGUGCUUUCACCUGCCAGCAGCUGCUGCUGCCCCUUGCCCAUGGGACAGCCUCAGUGCAGGCCUUGCAUCCUGUGCAGGGCCUGGGAACUGCUUUUAUUGGUCAUAUUUAAUAAAGAUUAAUGUCUCUUCCUCCUGCCCCCUGGU